UCAGAGGGUGUUUUUCCUUACCACUCUAGAGGGCACUUUAGCACAUGUUUUUGCCUCCCAAAAGGCCACUUCAGCACACGUUUUGGCUCUCAAGAGGGCACUUGAAGGCAGUUUAGCACACGCUUUGGCUCCCAAGACAGCAGUUUAGCACACGUUUUUCAACAACUGGGCCA